CUCAUAUAUAAUCAUUAAAAUUCUACAUGAGAAGGCAAAUUAAGAGAAAGCUGCAGCUUUCUUAAUUUCAAAUGAAAACAGAAAUAUGAAUAGUAAACAGAAUGUCAUAGUAUUUAAGCUAUCUUUUUAAGUUUAAAGUAAUACAACAAAGAAAUUGGAUUCCGUUACCUAAUUUUCAAUAACAUGUGACUCAGUUGCAUACUUUAUUACUAUCUGGGUUUCUUGCUGAGUAUAGAAAAUCAUAAAACAUGGGCAAAAAUGAAAAGGGAUCAGCAGCCCAAGUCAUACAGGGAUGUAAGAAUACCUGGG
rnacentral:lncRNA from 1 species